UCCGGCUUGCCGCCGGCAGUCUCCUUAGAGUGCUCGACAUCACUCGUUAGCAACUAAGGACGAGGGUUGCGCUCGUUGCGGGACUUAACCCAACAUCUCACGACACGAGCUGACGACAGCCAUGCAGCACCUGUGCACAGGUCCCGAAGGAAAGAUGUGUUUCCACACCCGUCCUGUGCAUGUCAAGUCUGGGUAAGGUUCUUCGCGUUGCGUCGAAUUGAACCACAUGCUCCACCGCUUGUGCGGGCCCCCGUCAAUUCCUUUGAGUUUCAACCUUGCGGUCGUACUCCCCAGGCGGGGCACUUAAUGCGUUAGCUGCGGCACUGGAGGGGUCAAUGCCUCCAACACCUAGUGCCCACCGUUUACGGCUAGGACUAC
rnacentral:misc_RNA from 1 species